AAAGUCAGAAACUAUUUUUAAUCAAUUAAAAAUGAAUAAAAAUAACCUAAUUGAACUAAAAUCUCAAAUAAAUCUCAAAUCAAUUAAAAAAUUGAUGAGAAUAUUUUUCAUAGAUCCAUCAUCAUUCAAAUAGGUUAGGAAAAUAUUUUUGUAUUUUUUGAAUAUCAAAAACUAUUUAAAAUGAAUUAAAAAUAACCAGAAAAGAGAAAAA
rnacentral:lncRNA from 1 species